UCCAGUUCUCGCGGUAUUCUGAUGUAACUUUCUCUGUUGACAUGUCUUGUUGCAGAGACCAGCUACACUCUUUAUUUUCCAAUAUUUUUCCUACUAAAGUUCAGCAUCUUUUAUGCAGAACAACUCUUCAAUGUUCUUAGAUUGAAAUCAUCUAACUCAACGAUAUUGUCCUGGGACUCUGCUUGUUGCCGAGACCAGGUACACUCUUCUUUUUGUUAUUUUCCAAUUUUUUCUCCAUUUUUCCCGCUGACGUUCAGCGUCUUUUACGCACAACAACUUAACAUUUACGCACAUUCACACAACAUAUGUACAUCUAUUUACACAGUUCCUUGAUUCAAUCUCAGACAAAGCUGUAUAUUUUUUUCAACAAGUUGCGGUG